CAGCUCUCCGAGUGGUAGGGAUGAUUAUUGGGCUUAAAGCGUCCGUAGCCGGCUUAGCAAGUCUCCUGUUAAAUUCAGCGACCUAAUCGUUGAGCCGCGGGAGAUACUACUAGGCUAGGAGGCGGGAGAGGUCGACGGUACUUCCGGGGUAGGGGUGAAAUCCUAUAAUCCCGGGAGGACCACCAGUGGCGAAGGCUGUCGACUAGAACGCGCUCGACGGUGAGGGACGAAAGCUGGGGGAGCGAACCGGAUUAGAUACCCGAGUAGUCC
rnacentral:rRNA from 1 species